UGGUACCAUUGUCUAAUCAUGGCAACUAGCCAACUUGUUCCAUGUAAAUAUCUUCAUCUCUGCAGUGGCGUAGCUAGCUCGGUGAGCCAGGGUGGUCCAAUAUUAAAAUUUUCAUGUAAUUUUAUGCAUUGUAAAAAAUAUAUAUCUUUUUUCUAUCCUAUAUAUUGGCUAUGGUGGAAUUUCAGGAUGGUCCAUGGACCACCCUGUCCACCCCCUAGCUACGCCACUACAUCUCUGAUCAAGACAUUUCAGCGAAACCAAUAACCAUCAGGCUGAACGUACAACUAGCCAAUGAAGACAAGUUCCCGAAAUGCGGUAAGUUUUCUUUGGUAGCAUGAUGGUACUACAUUUUAUGGGACAACACAUGUUCUGCUAGUUGCUAGUUAACCACAAGAGACUGAAUGAGCUCUGCCUGGAUCAAGC
rnacentral:lncRNA from 1 species